CCUACGGGAGGCAGCAGUGGGGAAUAUUGGACAAUGGGGGCAACCCUGAUCCAGCCAUGCCGCGUGUGUGAAGAAGGCCCUCGGGUUGUAAAGCACUUUCAGUGAGGAAGAACGCCUGGUGGUUAAUACCCAUCAGGAAAGACAUCACUCACAGAAGAAGCACCGGCUAGCUCCGUGCCAGCAGCCGCGGUAAUACGGAGGGUGCGAGCGUUAAUCGGAAUUACUGGGCGUAAAGCGCGCGUAGGUGGCUUGAUAAGCCGGUUGUGAAAGCCCCGGGCUCAACCUGGGAACGGCAUCCGGAACUGUCAAGCUAGAGUGCAGGAGAGGAAGGUAGAAUUCCCGGUGUAGCGGUGAAAUGCGUAGAGAUCGGGAGGAAUACCAGUGGCGAAGGCGGCCUUCUGGACUGACACUGACACUGAGGUGCGAAAGCGUGGGUAGCAAACAGGAUUAGAUACCCCGGUAGUC
rnacentral:rRNA from 1 species